rnacentral:rRNA from 1 species
GACGAACGCUGGCGGCGUGCCUAACACAUGCAAGUCAACUUGAGGGAAGGAGCAAUCUGACCUGAUGGUGGCGCAAGGGUGCGUAACGCGUAAGUAACUUGCCCCAAGGUAAGGAAUAACGUCGAGAAAUCGGCGCUAAUACCUCAUAAUGCAGCGGAUCCGCAUGGAUAUGUUGUUAAAGGUUUACCGCCUUGGGAUAGGCUUGCGUCUGAUUAGCUAGUUGGUGUGGUAAUGGCACACCAAGGCUACGAUCAGUAACUGGUCUGAGAGGAUGAUCAGUCACACUGGAACUGAGACACGGUCCAGACUCCUACGGAGGCAGCAGUGAGGAAUAUUGGGCAAUGCACGAAAGUGUGACCCAG